AGCGAACGCUGGCGGCAGGCUUAACACAUGCAAGUCGAGCGGGCAUCCUUGUGGUGUCAGCGGCAGACGGGUGAGUAACGCGUGGGAACGUGCCCUUCGGUUCGGAAUAACUCAGGGAAACUUGAGCUAAUACCGGAUACGUGUGAGAGCAGAAAGGUUUAUCUGCCGAAGGAUCGGCCCGCGUCUGAUUAGCUAGUUGGUGAGGUUAUGGCUCACCAAGGCGACGAUCAGUAGCUGGUCUGAGAGGAUGAUCAGCCACACUGGGACUGAGACACGGCCCAGACUCCUACGGGAGGCAGCAGUGGGGAAUAUUGGACAAUGGGGGCAACCCUGAUCCAGCCAUGCCGCGUGAGUGAUGACGGCCUUAGGGUUGUAAAGCUCUUUUCUCCGGGACGAUAAUGACGGUACCGGAGGAAUAAGCCCCGGCUAACUUCGUG
rnacentral:rRNA from 1 species